AUGGCUGAUGACAUUCCAUGUUGAUAACUGCAAAGUACUGGGCAUUGGAAAACAUAAUCCCAACUCUACAUCUAAAACGAUGGGGUCUAAAUUAGCUGUUACCACUCAAGAAAGAGAUCUUGGAGUCAUUGUGGAUAGUUCUCUGAAAACAUCCACUCAGUG